AUAUUAAUAUAUUGUUGGCUAAACAAACAGCUGAAAACACACCGAGAAACAGGCAGGAAGACAUUUACUAAUUUAUUUCAUCGAAAUUACGCCCCAAAUGAUCUGAUACUUUGUUGCAUCAACGGCACUCAUAAGUAAUCACAAUUGGUGCUGAACUAAUAUGUUAUGCCUCACGCUCGUUUUACGUUGGCUGCAUGGAGGAGGUUGAUGAGUCAUAUACAAGCCAUCAACAUAAUCGUAGUCGCUAGAGACGUUAAUUGGCUUCCUAUUCUCACGCGAUCAAGUUUCCAUGGUCGUACAAUCGUUUACAUCUCUUUUAGCAAUUCCUCGUUUUAGAAGCCAAAAAGGGGGAAAAAAAAAAGAAAAAAAAAGAAAAAGAAAAGAGAAACGAAGUAAAAGCAUACCGUAUGCAAUUUCCGUCUUCCACUCCACGGAAACAAAACUUUGUGGUGCUCGUUUCCAAAGAAUUGCGAUAACAAUCGUGCGAUUGGAUCAGGAGGAAUACUGAAUGAACCUUUUACUGCCUGCGUACGCCCUUGUUUCGACGAGGGGC
rnacentral:lncRNA from 1 species